CUACAGGCUUAACACAUGCAAGUCGAGGGGCAGCAUGGUCUUAGCUUGCUAAGGCCGAUGGCGACCGGCGCACGGGUGAGUAACACGUAUCCAACCUGCCGUCUACUCUUGGACAGCCUUCUGAAAGGAAGAUUAAUACAAGAUGGCAUCAUGAGUCCGCAUGUUCACAUGAUUAAAGGUAUUCCGGUAGACGAUGGGGAUGCGUUCCAUUAGAUAGUAGGCGGGGUAACGGCCCAUCUAGUCUUCGAUGGAUAGGGGUUCUGAGAGGAAGGUCCCCCACAUUGGAACUGAGACACGGUCCAAACUCCUACGGGAGGCAGCAGUGAGGAAUAUUGGUCAAUGGGCGAGAGCCUGAACCAGCCAAGUAGCGUGAAGGAUGACUGCCCUAUGGGUUGUAAACUUCUUUUAUAAAGGAAUAAAGUCGGGUAUGGAUACCCGUUUGCAUGUACUUUAUGAAUAAGGAUCGGCUAACUCCGUGCCAGCAGCCGCGGUAAUACGGAGGAUCCGAGCGUUAUCCGGAUUUAUUGGGUUUAAAGGGAGCGUAGAUGGAUGUUUAAGUCAGUUGUGAAAGUUUGCGGCUCAACCGUAAAAUUGCAGUUGAUACUGGAUAUCUUGAGUGCAGUUGAGGCAGGCGGAAUUCGUGGUGUAGCGGUGAAAUGCUUAGAUAUCACGAAGAACUCCGAUUGCGAAGGCGGCCUGCUAAGCUGCAACUGACAUUGAGGCUCGAAAGUGUGGGUAUCAAACAGGAUUAGAUACCCUGGUAGUCCACACGGUAAACGAUGAAUACUCGCUGUUUGCGAUAUACAGCAAGCGGCCAAGCGAAAGCGUUAAGUAUUCCACCUGGGGAGUACGCCGGCAACGGUGAAACUCAAAGGAAUUGACGGGGGCCCGCACAAGCGGAGGAACAUGUGGUUUAAUUCGAUGAUACGCGAGGAACCUUACCCGGGCUUAAAUUGCAGAUGAAUUACGGUGAAAGCCGUAAGCCGCAAGGCAUCUGUGAAGGUGCUGCAUGGUUGUCGUCAGCUCGUGCCGUGAGGUGUCGGCUUAAGUGCCAUAACGAGCGCAACCCUUGUUGUCAGUUACUAACAGGUUCCGCUGAGGACUCUGACAAGACUGCCAUCGUAAGAUGUGAGGAAGGUGGGGAUGACGUCAAAUCAGCACGGCCCUUACGUCCGGGGCUACACACGUGUUACAAUGGGGGGUACAGAGGGCCGCUACCACGCGAGUGGAUGCCAAUCCCCAAAACCUCUCUCAGUUCGGACUGGAGUCUGCAACCCGACUCCACGAAGCUGGAUUCGCUAGUAAUCGCGCAUCAGCCACGGCGCGGUGAAUACGUUCCCGGGCCUUGUACACACCGCCCGUCAAGCCAUGGGAGCCGGGGGUACCUGAAGUGCGUAACCGCGAGGAGCGCCCUAGGGUAAAACUGGUGACUGGGGCUAAGUAG
rnacentral:rRNA from 1 species